rnacentral:lncRNA from 1 species
CCCUUUCAAUAAGAAACUGUUAGACAUGUUUGCCAGAUGAAUAAAAGGUGAUACCAUAACAGAAUUAAUUAUAAGUUAGCCAUUUCCCUUUCAAUAAGAAACUAUUAGACAUGUUUGCUAGAUGAAUAAAAGGUGAUACAUAACAGAAUUAAUUAUAAGUUAACCAUAAAAGACAGUCACCUGUCAUUUCUCUUUAAAUGGCAUUUACGAGCCAUUUCCCUUUCAAUAAGAAAUUGUUAGACAUGUUUGCUAGAUGAAUAAAAGGUGAUACCAUAACAGAAUUAAUUAUAAGUUAACCAAUAAAAGACGGUCAUCUGUCAUUUCUCUUUAAAUGAGCAAACUACCACAAAACCUCAAGAAAAAUCUAUAAAUAUUCCCACCUAAGACAAAAGAUGUAUGUAUCCAAAUAUCUCAAUCUCAAAUGGUCAUUUCUUUUCUUGCUUCGAUUUGAGUAUCAUGAUCAGUGAGUUUAGGAGGAGAAAAGACCAUUAGGUAAGAGGAGUUGUUGAUCCGAUUUCAAUCAUCAACAAUCAAUGCACAAACUAUUUGACUUGACACGAACCAACUGAAUCCACUAAUGAAUUACACUAAAUUUCCUUAAACUUAUCCAAAUUACUCACUAACAAAGGUUCAAAUUUGUUUAAUUGAUAAAAAAUAUGUUUUCAACUUAUUUUACCAACUAUAAAUAAAUAUUAUUGUUAGAGUAUGGUUACUCGAAUCCUAUUUUACCAGUCAUUCAUUGUACUCAUUUUUCAUGUAACUGAUUUCACCUAAUCUCUGAUUGUGAUUUUUUCCAUCUAAGAAUUUCAUUUAUAUAUGUGUGUUCUUGUUAUUACUUUCUAUUGUCUAUUCUCCCCUUUUUG